AGUGCUGGGAUUACAGGUGUGAGCCAUUGCAUCUGAAUUUUUUUUCUUUUUUCUUUUUUUUUUUUGAGACAGGGUCUUGCUGUGUUCCAGGCUGGCGUGCAGUGGCACAAUCAUGGCUCACUGCAGCCUCUACCUCCCAAGCUCAAGUGAUCCCCCCCGACCUCAGUCUCCCGAGUAGCUGGUACUAUAGGGAUGUACCACCAUUCCCAGCUAAUUUUUAAAUUUUUUGUAAAGAUGGGGUCUCACUAUGUUGCUCAGGCUGGUGAAAUUUUUAUAUACUCAUUUAAUGGCACACUCAUCCUGAACUGUCACAAGACUAUUUUUGGUCCUUCUUUAACCCACUUAUGAAUAUUCACAGGAUUCAUCAGAGCUUUAUCAAUGUGUUUGACUGUGAGAUACUUUCCCAGUCCCUGUUCUAUAAUAUAGAGUAUAGGCACUAUAUUGUCUUCUCAAAUCAGUAAAUUCCAAAUUCUCAAGUAUUUCUAACUGACUCGGAGUUUUGGGCAAAAUCUUGUGGACUGUAGUUGAAAAAGCAUAGCCCUCAGAGUCCGAUGAAACCGGGCAUGCAGCCUACUUCGCUUAAUGUCUCGAAACGACAGUUGUUGUUGCUUUUUAUUUAUUUCUUUUUCUUUUACUUUUUUUUUUUUUAAUUGAGAUGGGUUUCACUCUUGUCACCCAGGCUGGAGUGCAAUGGCACACUUUCGGCUCACUGCAACCUCCGCCUCCUGGGUUAAUGCAAUUCUUCUGCCUCAGCUUCCUGAGUAGCUGAGAUUACAGGUGCCCACCACCAAGCCCAGCUAAUUUUUUGUAUUUGUAGUAGAGAUGGGCUUUCACCAUGUUGGCCAGGCUGGUCUUAAACUCCUGACCUCAGGUGAUCCACCCGCCUCAGCCUCCCAAAGUGCUGAGAUUACAGGCAUGAGCCACUGCACCCAGCCAAAUGCUGGUUCCUCAGCCUGUGGCUUGAAAUACCAGCUACAGUUGACUCUUGAACAACAGGAGGUCAGGAGUAGGGGGUGGGGACUUGGGGUGCCAACUUCACUCAGUUGAAGAUCUGCAAAUAACUUUUUUUCUUUACAGAUGAGGUCUUGCUCUGUCUCUCAGGAUGGAGUGCAGUGGUGAAAUCAUAGCUCACUGCAGCCUCUAACUCCUGGGCUCAAGGAAUCCUCCCACCUCAGCCUUCAUAGCAGCUGGGAUUACAGGCCCAACCCACUGCACCCAACCACAUGUAACUUUUGAUUCUUCCAAAACUAAUAGCCCAUU
rnacentral:lncRNA from 1 species